rnacentral:rRNA from 1 species
AUUGAACGCUGGCGGCAUGCCUAACACAUGCAAGUCGAACGCGUGGCGGACGGGUGAGUAAUGUCUGGGAAACUGCCAGAUGGAGGGGGAUAACUACUGGAAACGGUAGCUAAUCCCGCAUACCAUCAGAUGUGCCCAGAUGGGAUUAGCUAGUUGGUGGGGUAACGGCUUACCAAGGCGACGAUCCCUAGCUGGUCUGAGAGGGUGACCAGCCACACUGGAACUGAGACACGGUCCAGACUCCUACGGGAGGCAGCAGUGGGGAAUAUUGCACAAUGGGCGCAAGCCUGAUGCAGCCAUGCCGCGUGUAUGAAGAAGGCCUUCGGGUUGUAAAGCACUUUUAGCAGGGAGGCGGUACCCGCAGAAGAAGCACCGGCUAACUCCGUGCCAGCCGCCGCGGUAAUAC